CUUAUGUUUAAGAUGGAUACAAGAGCCUGAAGUACCCAGAUUUCAGACAGCCUAUUCCCUGUUAGCCCCCUGACCCGCAGGAGUGGACAGCAGUGAAGAUGGAGUCUCUGCAAAAGAAUAUGUGAAAGAUUAAGUACAAGUGGAUUUGAUACUUCCAUGCCUUUGUACAUGAAAAGGGAUAAUACUAACAGCAGGUACUCAGGAUGCCCUCUGUUGCAUGGUGGAUGGUUGCUCUUCAAACUGUUGUGUGAUUAGGAAUGUCAAUGCAGAGGGCAGAUAUGCUGAAAUCAGGAAAGAUAUCUAAGAAGACAUUUGAGAGCUCCUCUACUUGUGGAAUUCAAGCAUUGACUUUAAGUAGCACCACCUAUUAACAAAGGAGGAUAUAUAAUGCACUUAAUGGAAAAGCUCCCAGUGGGUUCUUGGACCAGUUCUGUGUUUAAUUUCUGUCCUGAAGUUAAGUCUUUGAAAACUCUGAAAUCAGUUUACUGAACCUGAGCAGGAACAAAACUACAAGAGAAGCCUAUUUAAUUCUAUCUGAUUCUCUGAAACCAGUAUGAAGCUAUGAUUCAAGUUAAUGUUGUUAACAUCAUCCCUAUCUGAUUUGAGAAGAAACUGUUUCUGUCAAUAUUUGAAUGUGACGGGGGUGAACAGGAGGAAGAAGUGAAGUCUAAUCUCAGCAGAUGGUUGUCAAAACUGCACAGAGUGACUGAGAAUGUAGAAAGAAGAGAGUUUCCCCCAUUUUGUUUUUAUGUCGUGAAUAGUGAAUAAAUCAUACAUUAUAGACAAAUCAAAAAUAGCAAAAACUAGGUAAAGUACAAGAUGAAAAGAAUGAAAACAGUAUUGCUGAAAAGUAUUUUGCAGAUAAAUGUAUGUGAUUACUCACAGAUCUUAAAUGAAUGUUGAGACGACUGAAAACAAAAAUGGACAUAUGUAUUGUAUUUAUGCAUUGAUAAUCUCAUCUUGGAGAUAUUACAAGAAUGAUUCAUGUUGACAAGAAAAGAAGAAUGUCUUUCAAGCUGUUACUUAGUUACUGACAAAUCAAGUAUGUCAAUUGGACGCAAGGAUGGGCAAAGCAGACUUGUAAGACAGAUAGGCUGCUGUAAGUUUUACAUCUGAUCAUAGCUGAAAAUCUGAAUGUUAACCCAAACUUUUCUCUCCAUUUAGAGUCUUCUUAUUCAUUGAGCUAUGCUCUGUAUCUUGACUUGUACUGGAAAAUCAUGGAUUAGGACUAUCUUUUUUUAUUUGAAAAAGUUCGUAGAUAUAGACCUGUGCUAUGUAGUUUCUGUGUAGUUGGAAUGCACACAACUGAAAUAGACACUUGAACUAACUUGAAACAGGAUAUGUCUACCAGCCUUUUUGAAUAGUGUUUGAUUGCUUUACAAUAUUUUCUGUGUAAAUGUGCGUGUAUUGUAUUUUGAUGCUCAUACAUGCAAAAAUCAUUCCUUAAUGGAUUUUUUUAUAAACAGGUAGGACUAUGUAAGUGACUUAGUGUCACCACAGAAUGUGUUUGUGGCUAUAGGGUUACUUAACCUCUCAUUUCAGCAAAAUUUAUCUGAUUCACAGAAUACAGGCACUACAAUAUGAAUUUCAAUUUAAGUGGGUGCCUUCAAAUGGCGUUAAAUCAAGGAUCUUCACUGACUCAUUAAUAAAUACACUUUACAUUAAGUUUUGUUGUAUUAUGUUUAGUGUAUGUAAAAUUCACGUAAUUCUACAGUAAUUAUAAUAAUAGUAAAGGAUAAAAUUACUUUAGAAACGAAUGAAACUGACUUUCUUCCCAGAUCAAUUGUAUCUGAUUUUUUGCUUUGAAAUGUAUGGUUGUUGGUUUUUUUGUUUGUUUGUUUGCUUGUUUUUCAUUCCUUUUGCCAUUCUGGAAAAAGUGUAUUUGAUCUAAUCUGUUCCCAACAAUUUUCAGUUACUAUGGCAUCUUACUCAAAAAGUAAAGAAGCUGCAAUUUUUAUAUAUAAGCAUUCUUGUUCAAAAGUCAAAGAUUAAUUUGAAUACUGAAAGUCUGUAUACAGCCUUGGCAGCUUAGCAGGUAUUUUGAGUGCUUGUAAACUAAUUUAUACUAGAAAGAAUAAAAAUUACAAGGGUUACUAAUCUUCAUGCUGAAAUCAUUAAGAUAAUUACCACCAACUGUUUUAUUAUCCAAGUAUAUCAGGGGAAAUGUAGUUGCAUCCUGCAGCAAUGAAUUAAAACAGAGUAGGUAUGUACCAAUCUACAGUGUAAAUGACAUAUUGAAAAACAGAUACUUGUGUAUGUGUCUUGUACUGGUACAUAACUUUCCUAUUGGUAAACUUAAAAGGUCUAUUAAGUGGAAUACUGUUUUUUAUUCUUAAAAUACUGCCAUGUCAAGUCUCCUUUUCUGGUACUUUCCACCCAUUGCAGUACUGCUCCGUCUGUUUUGAUUUACAGAUCCUCAAGUCACAUAAGGUAUUAUCUUUGUCUAUUUUGUUUUUUUUUUUUUUCCCCA